UGCACAGAAUGCACAUUGGAAACCAUGGUGAUUUGAUAUACGCUGCCAUGUCCGCUCUGUGACUUCUUCCCCACCGGAUUCACAGCAGCGGGACCUAAGGGUUGACUGAGAAAGUCUUUCAAUGGAUGAUAGCAACUUGGAAGAGGGAAAACUGCAUAAAUUCUACUUCAUCAACACACCAAUAGUCCACUCUAUGCUUAACACAGAAGGAACGUGAUGCCCCGGGCAGGAGAGCAUUUGGUGUUUAAGUGAAAUGACCUCUAGCAAUAGCCACAAUUGUUACCACUUGUCUCAACCUAAAUAAUUUCUACUGCAUAUCUAAGCUUUUACAGAACUUUUGCAUAACAAACAAGUAUGGUUUCUGUCAGUAAAUGUAAAUGCUCAGGAUGUAUUGCUGGCAUCCUCAUUGCCUUUACUUCUAGAAGCAAAGUACACACAAGGUCUUUCCCAUCUCAUUCACUCUCAUUUAGAUAAAAUGACACGUAUGACUUCUGGAUCAGACCCUGUUCUGACUUGGCCACUUGUUCCUCACCUCUGAACAUUCUGGCUGUGCUGCAGAUUAGAAAGUUUUCCAUCGCUCUUUCUAGUGUGUCCUUGUAAAAUCCAAAGGAAGAAAGUGCACCUCCCAUGGGUCCUCUCUAGUUUAGGAAGAGAGUGUUCCUGAAACAUGUGUUAAUAAACAAGUACUUAUAAUAACACAUAUUAUAAGUAUAAUAUAAAGUAUACUUAUACUUCAAGUAUAAAAUCCUAAGACCCAGGGCGUCCACAUACCCAAAUAUGGCUCCUGCAGUGCCCUUGCUCCAACCAGGCUCUCCAGGACCACACAUCACCCUGAGAGCACCUGUGCUAGCCCUCCCCUCCCUGAACUUUUUCCCCAAAAUUCUCCACCUGGAUAUCAGAUUCUUUCAUGUUAUCCCUGAGCUCACAGUCUCACAGAAGGAUAUAAAAUAUCACUCCCACUCCCUCAUGUGGCUACAGUGGUGGAAAUGAGUGAACUGUGCUCUUCCGUGUGCAUCACACUGCCCCUUCAAAAUGCACCUUUACAGGUAUUGUUCCACUCAAACAUCAGAACAAUCUCAUAGGAGACAGGCAAGAAAUUAUUUAUUCCUAUUUUACAGAUGGUGAACAUGAGACCCAAAACAGAUCAUUUGACUUGCCUAAGUCACAAAACCAUUUGAGGCAGCUUUUCUUAUGUACAUUGAGUUCAGUGCUUUCCUUUUAGUUAUCCCCUCACAGUGUUCCAAGGUCUAGUGGGGAUGAUCCCUGCAGAGAGAGGUCAGUGUGGGCCCAUAGUGUGUGCUGUGCAUUGCCCUUAUCUGGCUUCUGCCAUUGGAUUCUUCAUCCUGGAGUCUUGAGACUGCGCCCAGCCUGCUGUGGAGACCUAGUCCCCAGAUCCAUGGUGCCAUUGGUCUCGGCUUGCUGUAGACACUCCUCGGCUAUGUCUGAGGUCUAGGAUAAUUGUUAAAUAUGCAAACAUUCACUUCUGAAAGUUGCACAGAUGAGAUAAUAAAUAUAUUGUCACUCUU